AGAGUUUGAUCAUGGCUCAGAAUCAACGCUGGCGGCGUGCCUAACACAUGCAAGUCGAACGCGAAAGUCCCGCAAGGGAUGAGUAGAGUGGCAAACGGGUGAGUAACACGUGGGUGACCUGCCUUCGAGCGGGGGAUAACGUCCCGAAAGGGACGCUAAUACCGCAUAACAUCCUGCCUUUGAAGAGGUGGAGAUCAAAGCUGGGGAUCGCAAGACCUAGCACUCGAAGAGGGGCCCGCGUCCGAUUAGCUAGUUGGUGGGGUAAUGGCUCACCAAGGCAACGAUCGGUAGCCGGCCUGAGAGGGCGGACGGCCACACUGGGACUGAGACACGGCCCAGACUCCUACGGGAGGCAGCAGUGGGGAAUUGUUCGCAAUGGGCGCAAGCCUGACGACGCAACGCCGCGUGGAGGAUGAAGAUCUUCGGGUCGUAAACUCCUUUCGAUCGAGACGAAUUCCCCUGGGGUGAACAGCUCCGGGGGUUGACGGUACCGAGAGAAGAAGCCCCGGCUAACUCCGUGCCAGCAGCCGCGGUAAUACGGGGGGGGCAAGCGUUGUUCGGAAUUACUGGGCGUAAAGGGCUCGUAGGCGGCCAACUAAGUCAGACGUGAAAUCCCUCGGCUUAACCGGGGAACUGCGUCUGAUACUGGAUGGCUUGAGUUUGGGAGAGGGAUGCGGAAUUCCAGGUGUAGCGGUGAAAUGCGUAGAUAUCUGGAGGAACACCGGUGGCGAAGGCGGCAUCCUGGACCAACACUGACGCUGAGGAGCGAAAGCCAGGGGAGCAAACGGGAUUAGAUACCCUAGUAGUCC
rnacentral:rRNA from 1 species